rnacentral:siRNA from 1 species
GACCGGAUUUGAGGGUGCGGUGU